rnacentral:rRNA from 1 species
UGCAGUCGAGCGGGGAAGUAUAGCUUGCUAUACGACCUAGCGGCGGACGGGUGAGUAAUGCUUAGGAAUCUGCCUAUUAGUGGGGGACAACAUUCCGAAAGGAAUGCUAAUACCGCAUACGCCCUACGGGGGAAAGCAGGGGAUCUUCGGACCUUGCGCUAAUAGAUGAGCCUAAGUCAGAUUAGCUAGUUGGUGGGGUAAAGGCCUACCAAGGCGACGAUCUGUAGCGGGUCUGAGAGGAUGAUCCGCCACACUGGGACUGGGACACGGCCCAGACUCCUACGGGAGGCAGCAGUGGGGAAUAUUGGACAAUGGGCGCAAGCCUGAUCCAGCCAUGCCGCGUGUGUGAAGAAGGCCUUUUGGUUGUAAAGCACUUUAAGCGAGGAGGAGGCUACUUGGAUUAAUACUCUAGGAUAGUGGACGUUACUCGCAGAAUAAGCACCGGCUAACUCUGUGCCAGCAGCCGCGGUAAUACAGAGGGUGCGAGCGUUAAUCGGAUUUACUGGGCGUAAAGCGUGCGUAGGCGGCUUCUUAAGUCGGAUGUGAAAUCCCUGAGCUUAACUUAGGAAUUGCAUUCGAUACUGGGAAGCUAGAGUAUGGGAGAGGAUGGUAGAAUUCCAGGUGUAGCGGUGAAAUGCGUAGAGAUCUGGAGGAAUACCGAUGGCGAAGGCAGCCAUCUGGCCUAAUACUGACGCUGAGGUACGAAAGCAUGGGGAGCAAACAGGAUUAGAUACCCUGGUAGUCCAUGCCGUAAACGAUGUCUACUAGCCGUUGGGGCCUUUGAGGGCUUUAGUGGCGCAGCUAACGCGAUAAGUAGACCGCCUGGGGGAGUACGGUCGCAAGACUAAAACUCAAAGGAAUUGACGGA